rnacentral:rRNA from 1 species
GACGAACGCUGGCGGCGUGCUUAACACAUGCAAGUCGAACGGAAAGGCCCUGCUUGCAGGGUACUCGAGUGGCGAACGGGUGAGUAACACGUGGGUGAUCUGCCCUGCACUUCGGGAUAAGCCUGGGAAACUGGGUCUAAUACCGGAUAGGAGCCAUUUUUAGUGGGAUGGUUGGAAAGUUUUUUCGGUGUAGGAUGAGCUCGCGGCCUAUCAGCUUGUUGGUGGGGUAAUGGCCUACCAAGGCGGCGACGGGUAGCCGGCCUGAGAGGGUGGACGGCCACAUUGGGACUGAGAGACGGCCCAGACUCCUACGGGAGGCAGCAGUGGGGAAGAUUGCACAAUGGGCGCAAGCCUGAUGCAGCGACGCCGCGUGGGGGAUGACGGCCUUCGGGUUGUAAACUCCUUUCGCUAGGGACGAAGCUUUUUGUGACGGUACCUAGAUAAGAAGCACCGGCUAACUACGUG